UGCGUUCACAGAAUCUUUGGGGCCAGCAACGUCGCUCGAAUGCUGCAGGUUUGUGUUCUUCCUCCAACACUUUUCCUUAUGGUUGCAAUCACCAGUUCAUGAUCACAACUACAGUGAACUGCUGCAAUUUCUAUGUUAUUUUGAUAGAAUUUGCUGCACCUCUAAGACUUAUUUAAUUUGAUAUACAAGGGAAGAAUUUAGCAAGGUUCAAAUAUAAGAAAAAGAAGAAAAAACUGAUGUGAGUCCAUCAAAAAAUGAUGUUGCUAAUGGUGAUGAUGAUGAUGAUGGUGUUUUGGAAGGAGCUUAUAUCUGAAUUAAUAUUAGCAAAAUUAGUGUAAUUUUAGCGGUGGUGAACACCUGGUUUUCUCCCAGUAGUGAUUAGUUUCUUAGUCCAAGUUAGGCUGCUAAUGUAACAAUCCAACUAUCUCAAUACGAUUUUUUUCAUUAAAAAGAAAAUAUAUAAACGGAUUCAAAAAUCUCUCUUUACAUCAGAGUAUAAAGAUAAAAUGAGUCAUUCCGGUCCCGACAAACUAAUUUUAUAGGUUAGACAUUUUGCCAACUAGUUAAUAAUCCUACUACCUUCACAUCAGAGUACAAAGAUUAAAAGAAUCAUUCCGGUCCCAAAAACACUAAUUGUAUAGGUUUGACAAUUUGCCAACUAGUUAACAAUCCUAUUACCUUGCCAGUAUACUUGUGAGAAUUUGAAGUCCACAGUAUGUCUUAGAUGUAGAUCGUCGUCUUUGGAUCUGCUUCAACAUGCAUUCUUCGCAUUUUUAUCUCUUAAAAAGAUACUGGAGACCUUCCCUGAUUGCAGCUGCCUCACUGUAUUGUUCUAUUGGAGAACCUGCAAUCAACCAACAAGUAGUUAUCAGUAACAUCACUAAUAGAAUAACCUAUACCCUCUUCAUGAUGACAAUUCAACCUUGCAUGUCUAGAAUUCUGCGGGAAAUAUUUCCUUAUAAUCUUAAAGACACCCUUACCAAGUCAUAAAACUAACAGUAAAGGCAUUGAAGUUGUGUGCCACAUUUUAAGAAGAUACUGACAUCAGAAUGUGCAUCUCGCAGCAAAUUCCAGUGGAGCACAGAAGACAAGCCGCAGAUGCCAUUGCGAUGGAGGCCUACUGGCGUGUGCAGGAUCCGGUUUAUGGGAGUGUUGGGUUCAUCUCAAUGUUGCAGAGGGAG
rnacentral:lncRNA from 1 species